rnacentral:rRNA from 1 species
UACGUAGGGGGCAAGCGUUAUCCGGAUUUACUGGGUGUAAAGGGAGCGUAGGUGGCAUGGUAAGCCAGAAGUGAAAACCCAGGGCUCAACUCUGUGGAUUGCUUUUGGAACUAUCAGGCUGGAGUGCUGGAGGGGUAAGCGGAAUUCCUAGUGUAGCGGUGAAAUGCGUAGAUAUUAGGAGGAACACCGGUGGCGAAGGCGGCUUACUGGACAGAAACUGACACUGAGGCUCGAAAGCGUGGGGAGCAAACAGG